rnacentral:rRNA from 1 species
AUUGAACGCUGGCGGCAGGCCUAACACAUGCAAGUCGAGCGGUAGAGAGAAGCUUGCUUCUCUUGAGAGCGGCGGACGGGUGAGUAAUGCCUAGGAAUCUGCCUGGUAGUGGGGGAUAACGUUCGGAAACGGACGCUAAUACCGCAUACGUCCUACGGGAGAAAGCAGGGGACCUUCGGGCCUUGCGCUAUCAGAUGAGCCUAGGUCGGAUUAGCUAGUUGGUGAGGUAAUGGCUCACCAAGGCGACGAUCCGUAACUGGUCUGAGAGGAUGAUCAGUCACACUGGAACUGAGACACGGUCCAGACUCCUACGGGAGGCAGCAGUGGGGAAUAUUGGACAAUGGGCGAAAGCCUGAUCCAGCCAUGCCGCGUGUGUGAAGAAGGUCUUCGGAUUGUAAAGCACUUUAAGUUGGGAGGAAGGGUUGUAGAUUAACACUCUGCAAUUUUGACGUUACCGACAGAAUAAGCACCGGCUAACUCUGUGCCAGCAGCCGCGGUAAUACAGAGGGUGCAAGCGUUAAUCGGAAUUACUGGGCGUAAAGCGCGCGUAGGUGGUUUGUUAAGUUGGAUGUGAAAUCCCCGGGCUCAACCUGGGAACUGCAUUCAAAACUGACUGACUAGAGUAUGGUAGAGGGUGGUGGAAUUUCCUGUGUACCGCUGAAAUGCGUUAUUUCUGUUAUGAACCCCCAUGGCAAAGGCGACCCCCCGUCCUAUACUUUCUCUGAGUGUGUGUUUAUCUGUGGGGAUUUUACUUUUUUUUGUUUUCUUGGUUUUCUUUUGGUUUAAUUUUUUGUGGGUUGUGGGCUCGUCGGUCCCCCUGUACGUGGU